GGGGGUGACAUGGUUUCGACGUGGGUUGCAAAACUUGAGGCGCAUGCCGAGGAGCAGAAUCCCUCGUAAAUCUAGCUGCAAAACAAAGAUAGUCGCCAACGACGACGCUUACGCUCUGGCUGCUUAAUUAGCCAGCCUCUGACUGAGUCCGUGCUUGUGCGCUCAGCGUCGGUGUCAAAAGCCGGCAUUCAGAGGUCGACUCUCACAAGAUCGCGGAGUAAAUACGUCUGGGGUUGAUCCGCUAAACUCUACCAGGCUCGCCGACUUAGUUAUCCUGCCUAUCGGAUGGUGAGCGGCUAAAAUCUAAAGAUAAGGCUACGCAUGUAGAACCAAGGGCGGAGGACUUGCGGACGCGGGUUCGAUUCCCGCCACCUCCACCA
rnacentral:tmRNA from 2 species